CUCAAAGAUUAAGCCAUGCAUGUCUAAGUAUAAGCACUUAUACCGUGAAACUGCGAAUGGCUCAUUAAAUCAGUUAUAGUUUAUUUGAUAGUACCUUUACCUGGAUAACUGUGGUAAUUCUAGAGCUAAUACAUGCUAAAAACCUCGACUUCGGAAGGGGUGUAUUUAUUAGAUAAAAAACCAAUGCCCUUCGGGGCUCCUUGGUGAUUCAUAAUAACUUAACGAAUCGCAUGGCCUUGCGCCGGCGAUGGUUCAUUCAAAUUUCUGCCCUAUCAACUUUCGAUGGUAAGGUAGUGGCUUACCAUGGUCUCAACGGGUAACGGGGAAUUAGGGUUCUAUUCCGGAGAGGGAGCCUGAGAAACGGCUACCACAUCCAAGGAAGGCAGCAGGCGCGCAAAUUACCCAAUCCCAAUACGGGGAGGUAGUGACAAUAAAUACUGAUACGGGGCUCUUUCGGGUCUCGUAAUUGGAAUGAGUACAAUCUAAAUCCCUUAACGAGGAACAAUUGGAGGGAA
rnacentral:rRNA from 1 species